rnacentral:rRNA from 1 species
AUUGAAGUCGCUUAUGACUGAGUGGCGGACGGGUGAGUAACGCGUGGGUAACCUGCCUUGUACUGGGGGAUAACAGUUGGAAACGACUGCUAAUACCGCAUAAUGUAUUCUGACCGCAUGAUCGGAAUACCAAAGAUUUAUUGCUGAAAGAUGGCCUCGCGUCUGAUUAGCUAGUUGGUGAGGUAAUGGCCCACCAAGGCGACGAUCGGUAGCCGGACUGAGAGGUUGAACGGCCACAUUGGGACUGAGACACGGCCCAGACUCC